rnacentral:misc_RNA from 1 species
GAAAUGCGAUAAUUAAUGUGAAUUGCAGAAUUCAGUGAAUCAUCGAGUCUUUGAACGCACAUUGCGCCCCCUGGUAUUCCGGGGGGCAUGCCUGUCCGAGCGUCAUUGCUGCCCUCAAGCACGGCUUGUGUGUUGGGCUUCCGUCCCUGGCAACGGGGACGGGCCCAAAAGGCAGUGGCGGCACCAUGUCUGGUCCUCGAGCGUAUGGGGCUUUGUCACCCGCUCCCGUAGGUCCAGCUGGCAGCUAGCCUCGCAACCAAUCUUUUUAACCAGGUUGACCUCGGAUCAGGUAGGGAUACCCCCUGAACUUAAGC